GCGGUGGAUGAUGUGGAUUAAUCGAUGCAACGCGUAAAACCUUACCUACCCUUGACAUGUCCGGAAUCCCGAAGAGAUUUGGGAGUGCUCGCAAGAGAGCCGGAACACAGGUGCUGCAUGGCUGUCGUCAGCUCGUGUCGUGAGAUGUUGGGUUAAGUCCCGCAACGAGCGCAACCCUUGUCAUUAGUUGCCAUCAUUUGGUUGGGCACUCUAAUGAGACUGCCGGUGACAAACCGGAGGAAGGUGGGGAUGACGUCAAGUCCUCAUGGCCCUUAUGGGUAGGGCUUCACACGUCAUACAAUGGUCGGUACAGAGGGUUGCCAACCCGCGAGGGGGAGCUAAUCCCACAAAGCCGAUCGUAGUCCGGAUCGCAGUCUGCAACUCGACUGCGUGAAGUCGGAAUCGCUAGUAAUCGUGGAUCAGCAUGUCACGGUGAAUACGUUCCCGGGUCUU
rnacentral:rRNA from 1 species